rnacentral:rRNA from 1 species
CAGUAGCCGCGGUAAAACGUAGGUGGCGAGCGUUGUCCGGAAUUAUUGGGCGUAAAGGGAGCGCAGGCGGACAUAUAAGUCCAUCUUAAAAGUGCGGGGCUCAACCCCGUGAGGGGAUGGAAACUGUAUGCCUUGAGUGCAGGAGAGGAAAGCGGAAUUCCCAGUGUAGCGGUGAAAUGCGUAGAUAUUGGGAGGAACACCAGUGGCGAAGGCGGCUUUCUGGACUGUAACUGACGCUGAGGCUCGAAAGCCAGGGGAGCGAACGGGAUUAGAUACCCCCGUAGUCCCUGUCUCUUAUACC